rnacentral:misc_RNA from 1 species
GAUGAAGAACGUAGCGAAAUGCGAUAAGUAAUGUGAAUUGCAGAAUUCAGUGAGUCAUCGAAUCUUUGAACGCACCUUGCGCCCUUUGGACAUUCCGAAGGGCAUGCCUGUUUGAGUAUCAUGAACACCUCAACUCUCACGGCUUGUCCGUGAUGAGCUUGGACUUUGGGGGUCUUGCCGGCCUGUGGUCGGCUCCUCUCAAAUGGAUCAGCUUGCCAGUGUUUGGUGGCAUCACAGGUGUGAUAACUAUCUGCGCUUGUGGUUUUCCAUCAGAUAACCUUCAGUGAUAUGGAGGUUCGCUGGAGCUCACAAAUGUCUCUCCUUAGUGAGGACAGCUCUUUGAACGUUUGAUCUCAAAUCAGGUAGGACUACCCGCUGAACUUAAGCAUAUCAAUAAGCGGAGGA